GGUUCGCUGGCCUAGCGGUUAUGGCAUCUGUCUUACAUUCUAUGUUUCACAGAAGAUCGCCGGUUCGAUCCCGGCGCGAAUCA